rnacentral:rRNA from 1 species
ACAAACCAAAUGUUUGAAACUCAAAGGACUUGGCGGUGCCUCAAACCCACCUAGAGGAGCCUGUUCUAUAAUCGAUAAUCCACGAUCUACCUCACCACCUCUCGCCCACAGCCUAUAUACCUCCGUCCACAGCUUACCCUACUAAGGAACAAAAGUAAGCACAAUAGUUUACACAACUAAUAAGUCAGGUCAAGGUGUAGCCAACUGAGAUGGAAGAAAUGGGCUACAUUUUCUACACUAGAAAUAUUAACGGAAAGAACCCUGAA